rnacentral:rRNA from 1 species
UACGGGGGGGGCAAGCGUUGUUCGGAAUUACUGGGCGUAAAGGGUCUGUAGGUGGCUUGUUAAGUCAGACGUGAAAUCCCUCAGCUUAACUGGGGAACUGCGUCUGAUACUGGCGAGCUUGAGUGCAGGAGAGGAACGCGGAAUUCCUGGUGUAGCGGUGAAAUGCGCAGAUAUCAGGAAGAACACCCGUGGCGAAGGCGGCUCUCUGGGACGGUACUGACGCUGAGACGCGAAAGCGUGGGGAGCGAACAGG